rnacentral:rRNA from 1 species
UACGGAGGGUGCGAGCGUUAUCCGGAUUCACUGGGCUUAAAGGGUGCGUAGGCGGGCAGGUAAGUCAGUGGUGAAAUCUCCGGGCUUAACCCGGAAACUGCCAUUGAUACUAUCAGUCUUGAAUACCGUGGAGGUAAGCGGAAUAUGUCAUGUAGCGGUGAAAUGCUUAGAUAUGACAUAGAACACCAAUUGCGAAGGCAGCUUACUGGCCGAAUAUUGACACUGAGGCACGAAAGCGUGGGGAUCAAACAGG